rnacentral:lncRNA from 1 species
UGAUACGUCAUCUUGUAAACAAAAUCUUCAUUGUAAAUGAUGUUACAACUAUAUCAAUUAAUCUGUUAUUAUUAAGAUCAGUGGGUAUCAAUCUGUAAUGGUGAUCAAUCUACGCAAGUUAGUGAGUAUUGUGUAAUCAUUUUCUGACAUUCGUUUGAUAUUAUUUACAGAAUAAUGAUAUACUACACAUUGUCAUUUUUUUAAAUGUAUUUGUUGUGUUUUCUAUGGAAGGCAUUAUUGAGAACGGAAGGACAAAUUAUAUACCAUUAUUCUAUAUUUACUGUAUAUUCACCAUGAAUGUUCUUUGUUUGUAAACAUGGUGUACGAGACAAUCAGUAUUUGAUUAGAAAGAAAAUAUUGCACUUUAAUUAUGCAUUAUUAUUUGUUGUUCUGUUUUGUGUGACGGAAUUGCUUCCCUUGCAUAGUCAUGAUAGUAAAUACCGGCUAAGCCAGUUUGUUAUUAGCGGACAUGUAAUUAUGAUUGCCAAACGACAACUUUAACAACUUAGCAAACACAUGACAAAAUAUAAAUCAAAUACAAUUAAGAACUAACGGCCUUAUUAAGAUCUAUUAAGUUAUGUAUGACUAAACAAUCAACGAAAAAUUAAUAUGCAAAACAGCAACCAACGACAAACACGGAACAAGUACUAGCUUUUCAAAAAAAGGCUAGCCGUCUCUUAGCUGAUGAAAAUGGAAAGUGUUCUCGCUUUGUAGAUUAAUUCAUUCAGAAUAGCCUUGCAUAUCAAUCAACAAAUUUUAUCACACACGUGAUGUCACACGUUAUGAAACUUAGCAUAUCGUUUAACGUAGUGUGUGUUUACAAAGCUCCAGAAGAUUCGGCUAUUUAUACAGAUAAAAGUUACCUGUGUACCAAUAUGCAUGAUUAAUGACCAGGCAAAAUCUAAUUGCUAAAAAAAUGAGGACAAAUCCGAUACUCUACGGGAUUGAAAGAGAUCUAUGUUUGGAUUGUCCUAAUCAAUCAACGAACUUUAAUUAUUCACGUCUCGUCAUAUCUUCCAGUCAGAUAGUAAGAAGCAUUCAGUUUCAGUCUGUCCAUCAUUCAAUUCUUAUUAACGUCUCCGUCUCCUCCGCGGAGACCUUAAGUACAGGCUACUUUGGAUACGCAUAAAUAUUGUAUAGAAUAUGGCGGGGUUAAGUAUGUUUGUGAGCACUCAAUCCUCCCCUAACCUGUGAGAGUGGCAUAACAACAUAACAUAAGAGCUUACCAUAAAAAUAUUUUGCAAUUAUGUACGAGAAUUGUUUUUAAAUCUUGCGAAAGAUACAUAAGGACAAUCAGUACUUAUAUUAAGCUUUUAAGUCAAUGAGAAGACCACAGCAAAAUACAACGAAAAGACAAACAACAAUCUACAAGACACUACUUAGAAACUAAAAAACAGAGCAACCCGACCUCCUCUCUUCCUAAAAGUCACAAACAACAACAAAAAUAAAAAAAUAAAAAAACUGCAAAAAAAACAAAGCAAAACAAAAAACAACAUGAGCAAAGGGGUUCUCAGGUGAUCCGGCAGGUUCAAGGAUCGAUGGAAUGAAAACAAAACCCAUUCCUUUGACGCAUGUAUCGAACCUGCAACCAAAAACACAGUCACUCGCCAAAAUGUCCACGGCAAUUAUGAAUUCUAACCUGUGCAUUUAAAAAUGGAUCUAAUGUUAUUGACAUUUAAACGAGGAAAUUAUCUGUAAACAUGAAUUACCACUGAAUUGAUGGUGUAGUUAUAUACGGUAUAAUAAUUUACGAAUUGGAUGUUGCUAAUAAGUUGUUCGAUCGACAUUAAUAACGAACAUUUCGUACAUUGAAUUUGCACUUUCGCAUCGCAAAAAACUGAUCAACAAUGAGAAAGAAAAAAGUUAGACUCAAAAUAAUAACCGUCUUUGCCAUUUCUUCACGAUUGACUCCAUCAUUUUCAACGUCAGCAACAGUUACUGUUCAGGCAGGUGCUUAGUGUUAAUCGACCUUUACAUAUAUGUGUAAAUUAUGGUAUCGGUAAAUCUUUUAUAUAAAUUAUCACUCUGUAAAAGUGAAUGUAAUCAUUGUUUAAUAUAUAAAAUCGGAUGUUGUUAAUAUCCUGUUAGAUCGACGGAAGGACAGAAACAGCACACAUUCAUAAACGGGGUAAAUUAUUUUCUAUAUCUUUUACAUUUUUCGCUAAAGAGUUCUCUAAGAUGCUACAGAUCAGUUUGUUUGACUAAAACAGAUCGGUAUGUUUGUCCUUCUUUUUUCUUUAAAAAAAUGUUUUACCAUAUUUCAGACGUCUUUUUUUUUUAUUUGGCAAAAUAGGAUUCUAAAUUCUUUGUAAAGCUAGAUGGAUUCCAUUGUAGUAAAUAAUUGAUAUUGUAACUGGCAAUUUUAAAACAAUUAUUUUAAGCCCUCGAUCACCGAGUAUGAUGCCGGUUAAAAUAAACGUAACAUUUAUACUAAAUAAAAUUGAGAAUGGAAAGUGGGGAAUUUGUCAAAGCGACAACAACCCGACCAUAGAGCAGACAACAGCCGAAGGCCAACAAUGGAUCUACAAUGUAGCGAAAAACUCCCGCACCCGGAGGCGUCCUUCAGCUGGUCCCUAAACAAAUAUGUACACUAGUUCAGUGAUCAUGGACGUCAUUCUAAACUCCGAAUUAUACACAAGAAAUUAAAGUUAAAAAUCAUACAACACAACAAAGACCAGAGGCUCCUGACUUGGGACAGGCGCAAAAUUGCGGCGGGGUUAAACAUGUUUAAACAUCUCAACCCUCCCCCUAUACCUCUAGCCUAUGUAGAAAAAACAAACGUAAAACAAUACGCACAGUAAAACUCACUUUAACAGAGUCUGAUGUCAGAAUAUGAAACAAAAGAAAAUAAACAAAAUAUCUCGCAGUUGAUGCAAUAUUUCAGAGCUUGCGUAUCUUACAUGUCGAGGCCCUGCACACUACCUGUUGUUAUUGGUCCAGCGACUUUGAAUGAAUUACCAAUGUUGCUGUACAUCAUAUUGUGUUUUUCUGAAUUUUAUGCCGACAGGCGAGACAUAUAUCGGUGUCAACAGUUUAUUUGAUAUUUUAUCUAUGCAAUUGGUAUAGUUAUAAACCGAGCAGAACAAACUAAAUACUGGUAAAACAUAUUGUUGUUGCUGCCCUAUUGUGAUAAUGAUUGAUAACGACAGAAUAUUAAACACAUAGUGUCACAUGAUUGUUAUUCGUUUCAGGUACUAAUUUCUGAGAAUGAAAAUACAUAUAAUUGUACUACUAUUGUCCAUAGUACAAUCCUCUGACCAGUGUGAUUGUAAGGAUGACUCUAUUUACAUCAAUGGGGAAGAAAUUUCUGGGAACUUAUGUUCAGCAGAAACAAGUAAGUUGUUAGUGUCGAUUACGGGCUUUAUAAAAAAAAAUCUAAAAUAUAUGAAAGGAGGGAACCAGAUAAGUACGUC